rnacentral:rRNA from 1 species
GAUGAACGCUGGCGGCGUGCCUAAUACAUGCAAGUCGAGCGAACAGACGAGGAGCUUGCUCCUCUGACGUUAGCGGCGGACGGGUGAGUAACACGUGGAUAACCUACCUAUAAGACUGGGAUAAAUUCGGGAAACCGGAGCUAAUACCGGAUAAUAUAUUGAACCGCAUGGUUCAAUAGUGAAAGACGGUUUUGCUGUCACUUAUAGCUGGAUCCGCUCCGCAUUAGCUAGUUGGUAAGGUAACGGCUUACCAAGGCAACGAUGCGUAGCCGACCUGAGAGGGUGAUCAGCCACACUGGAACUGAGACACGGUCCAGACUCCUACGGGAGGCAGCAGUAGGGAAUCUUCCGCAAUGGGCGAAAGCCUGACGGAGCAACGCCGCGUGAGUGAUGAAGGUCUUCGGAUCGUAAAACUCUGUUAUUAGGGAAGAACAAAUGUGUAAGUAACUAUGCACGUCUUGACGGUACCUAAUCAGAAAGCCACGGCUAACUACGUG